AGAGAUUGGCGUUAUUCUGACGAAAGAUCUAUCAUCUCUGCUCUGGCUUAUAAGACAGUUGGUAGCUAUUCAAGAAGAGCUACUUGAUUAAAUAUAAAGAUUUGCAAUCUUCCUAUCUCCUCUCACAUUGUUUUGCCGAUAGCAAUCCACUAUUAGUUUUUUUGCUCUCUUUGAUUUUAUUUAUUUUUAUUUCUUUCAGUAAAUUUGUAAUUAUUUUUGGCUAAUCUGAAGUUUGUUUGGCUAUGCAUUUGAUCUGAGCUUGAUAUGGUUUUUCAUGUGAUUAGGUUUCAAUCAAAUGAGAAACCAGUUAGUGAGAUGUAAUGAAUUGUCUAACCAUGCAAAGCCUCUUUUAACAACUUGGUGUAGGAUUGCAUCUAAAGGAAAAAUCGAAAAUGGUUGCUCUUUAUGUUGUUAAUAAGGAAGCUGUUGAUCUGGCAUGUUCUUUUAAAAAUUAUACUCUGUUAUCAUAGUUUACUUAUUAUUUAAAAGAAAAAAAAAAGCUUUAUAGUUAGAUGAUGUUGUUAAUUGCUUUGAAGAAUGGUCUAUUGGAGAAUAGAAGUACAUACGUGAUGUGAUUUGAACAGAGUAAUGUUUAAAAUUUUUAGGGGAUAUUGGAUACUAUAUGCUUAAAUAUACUAAAUUAUUUAGGUUUGAAUGUAUGUAGUAGAAGUAUGAGAACUAAGUUUAUGUUGGUUGUUAGAGCCAUUUCUUGGGUUCUUCUUUUACAGAUUUACGCAUUUCUCUACCAGAUACGAUGGUUUGGUAUUUUGCAAGAAGAGAUACCGAAUCAUAUUGAAAGGUUUAGGUUAGCCUGACUUUCCUUUUGUCUCUCUCUUUUUUUUGGGUUACGUUUUUUUCAUUUGAUGUCUUUGGGUUUGAAUUAGUUUUUUCCUUGCACAAUAUAGUCAGAAUUGUUCUUGAAGUAUUUGGUUUCAAUUAAAUUUUUUUUCUUCAGUAAAUUGACCUGUAAAAGUAUUGUUUGUCUUAUUUUUCUUAAAGUUUGGAACUUCACUUU